rnacentral:lncRNA from 1 species
GGAAAUAGGUAGGGGAUGGGGAUUCCACCUCAUCCCCAUUCCCUCCUCGAAUAAGAAAUUGGGUAUGAAAUUAUCUUCAUACCCUCUCCGAAUGAGGAAAAUUCCCGAGGGUACCCGUCCCCGUGGGAAUUUUUGCCAUCCCUAAUGCUUAAGCGAUUUUGUUAUUUUGACAAUCAACUGACUCUUAAUGGACGAAUUCACUAACACUCAAGGGAGAUAUGUGAAAUUAAAACGAAAGAAUCUAUCAUUCUAUCUAACUAGAAGAGAUAUUAUUAUUUUAAGUUUUUAAAAUCUAAAAUUUUUUCACAUCACUUUAUUUAUAAAGUUUUUUUACAAUUA